UCCACCCUUCGGUUCCCCUGUACACAGUCAUGAUACCGGUUAUAUAAAACCUGAGCGUGAUCGCUAGGUAAGAACCGUUGUUCAAUCAUCUGCUUCAUCAACACCCAGUUUCGUAAGGGUUCUAGCCUCCUCCGAUAGCAUUCAUUUCGGAUCGAAUUCCACCAGGCUACUGCACCCCCUUUUAACUUAUAUGCAAAAAUCGGAACCUUGUGAUCCUCUUCCACGUUCAUAAUUUUGAAAAAACGCUCAAC
rnacentral:lncRNA from 1 species